CCAGCCUUGGCCUUUGAUUGGCCCAGCCCUCACCAGAGCUGCUUCGACAUUGGUCGGCUCGUCUUCCUCUCCUCUGCCUCCCCGAGGCUUCCGCUUCCUAUUCUGACGGACGCUCCGGCCGUAACGAUGAUCGGGGAUAUCCUGCUGUUUGGGACGCUGCUGAUGAACGCCGGGGCGGUCCUCAACUUUAAGCUGAAAAAGAAGGACACGCAGGGCUUUGGUGAGGAGUCGAGGGAGCCCAGCACAGGUGACAACAUCCGGGAGUUCUUGCUGAGCCUCAGAUACUUCCGUAUCUUCAUCGCCCUCUGGAAUGUCUUCAUGAUGUUCUGCAUGAUUGUUCUGCACUUUGGUGUCACGCUUUCUGCUUUCAAAGUAAGAACUCUCCACACUUGAGAGGAAACCGGGAUCUACAAGAGUUAAACGAUGUCACCUCGGUCCGGGCUGGAGCUUCGAUGGGAACAUGGCAUCCUCCAAGUCCUGGCUGUGCCUGGUGCCUUGGCAGGGGCUGCCAGGAGUAGCCUGUUCCCGAGCCCGUGGCCCUGUUACCUCUCACCAGCUGUGUUGUGCUUAGCCUAUACUUGGCAUUGGCCAGAAUGGAAAAUAUGGCUUGAAGGGCCAGUGUGUUGCUGGAUCUUGUUCCCACCCUGCUGGAAGCCAGCAGAAGCUCUUUGGCUCCUGAGCUCCAGAUACGGAACCAGGAACACACCUUCUCAGAUGCCGAGUCUCCCUGCCUCCGUUCCUGAUGACUUCAAGAAUGUUUUUGACCAGAAGAAUGGUGACCUUCGCAGAAAGCCCAAACUCGUGGUGGGUGGAAAAAAUGUUCACCACGAUGCACAGCCACACCACUGUUUUCUUUUCAAAGAUAUUUUCACUCUGAUCCCUGCAUUGAAAUGCUGUCGACUUACGGAAUUUGAGGAGGGUUUACGCAAGGGGCUGUGAUAACAUUGCCUUCCGCAAAGAUAAAAGAACCUACCUAGAUUGUUGAAUCAGAUUAGAAUCCCUCUUCUGCCAGGCUUUCACUGGAAAUCAAUUUCUGGGUGUUGCUUGGUUUAUUUUUAGUAACCAUCCUUUUUGAUUCAAAUGAUACAGGUUUUUAAAAAAUCUUUUUUAUUCAGGGAUCUGAAGCAGAAAGGUCGCCAUUUAAGUUUGAUGCAGCCUCUUAUGGGACUGCAUUUAUGAGGAAUGAGCAAGUUCAUUGUUGCUGAGUCUGUGUCCAAGUUCCUUCCCAUCCCACUGGGCUCUGCUCAGCCACUCUGUGCCACUGAGGGUGUCCCCAGGUCUUUAAGGGUGAAGUAUUGCUGAUUCCCAUGGAGGAGAGGUGCAGAACAGUUGACGAGGCAGAUGGAGGUUUUAUGAGAAAUUUUGUCUUGCCUUGAAACUCUCCAGUAAAGUAAUUUUGGGGGCCAGUAAUUAUACAGUUUCUAGAACAAGAGUGAUUUAUGUGGUAAUAUUGGGACCCAAUUUGGAAAGCUUGGGUUUUGGGGUCUGCUUUUUAGGUGGGUGAUUUCAAAGUUGAAAAACGAUAAGACUCAUUGGAGGAAGUACAGCAUUUUGCACAGAAGCCUCUUUGAAAGGGAGUCCCAGUUGAAUCACCAAAAUGACACCCUGAGGGUCAGCUCCCUGACCCCACUGUGUUUAAUUUGUGGUGGAUUUUCAAAUCUUGACUUGUAGGGAAUGUGGGGGAGGAAAAAAUAAAUAUGCAGGCUUUUAGAACUAAACAGCAUUGAAAAUAAAAGCUCAUUUCUAAAAGGA